CGCCGCCGCCUGCUCCGCCAGGCCCUCCUUCAUCCAGUGUGCGAGCGACCCGAGGUCGAGCUCCUCCUCCUCCUCCUCAACGUCAUCCGCCCAGCGGCGGCCGCUGGGGGUGCCGCCGGUGCCGCUGACAGCUGCCGCCGCCGCCUGCUCCGCCAGGCCCUCCUUCAUCCAGUCUGCGAGCGACCCGAGGUCGAGCUCCUCCUCCGCCUCCUCGUGCGCCUCAACCUCAUCCGCCCAGCUACCGCUCGCGCCACCGCUGCUGCUAAUGCUGGCGCGAGGAGCAAUGCUGCUGCUGCUGCCGUCAGACUCUGACGCUGCCGCGGGCGCGGCCGGUGCGGCUUCCGCCUGCUGCUGCUCGGCCGCCGCGAGCUCCGCCAGUCCCUGCUUCACCCAGGGCGUCUGCUCAAAGAGGUCGCUCAGGUCGAGUCCGUCAGCCUCAUCCUCAUCAUCAUCGCCCCAUCGCGGCGUGGUCGAGCUGCGGUCGACGGUGGAGGUGGAGAUGGGGCUUGCAGCGGCGGCGGGCUUGGUCGGAGCCGCGAGCUUGGGCACCUUGGGCAGGCCGGGCGGCUUCUGCGGGCGCCAGUGGUUGUCGUAGGCAUGGCAAAGCUGGCAGGGGGCGCUCCUGCAGCCAGCAGAUAGGCUGGCAUAGCACCAGCGCAUGCAGGACUUGUGAGGAAAGCAGCAGGCGCUGGGGGCAGGCUCCUGCUGCUCCUGCUGGUGGGCGGCGGCGGAGGGCUCGCUCUCAUCAGAGCCGUGGCCUUGGCUGCGGGGCGUGUGGCGCCAGGCGUCCUGUGCAAACGAGAUCGGGGGAAAAGGAUAGAUGGGGGCGGACAAGCCGUGAGUGCACGGGACGAGGACAAGGGUCGGGGCGCAGAGGGCGGGACAAAGGACCGGGGGUCGGGGACUCGAGCCCCGGCAAAAAAGUCAGGCGCACCGGAAAGGCACGCGCUUUCGGUCAAAGCUGUUGACCGACGCAUUUUACGUGACAAUACAUGCAGCAAUAUGCAGCCAGUGUGGCCGCAGCAGCGCAAGAAGGAAGGCCGAGGAAGCCGAGCGCACUACCGUACUGGCCCGAAAUCUGCAACGCUAUCUAGCCCGCAUCAGAAGCCUAAUGCUUUGCAUGUGGCAUCGGAUACCCAUUGCAGUUGCUCAAGGCUCAAAAUGGCCGUGCCCGAACAUGAAUGGUGCUCACCUGCAUCGGUCGGCUCGGCUCGAAGUCAAGCCCCGGUGCACUUGCGCUUGACCGUGAUGUGGCCAUAGUAGCUCUUGACCGCAACAAGCACUCUUCGCGCGCAGAACUCGAUUCUGCUGCUAGCGCAAUUCUUUCGCUUGACGGAAACUUUUCCUCGCGGUGCCCGGGAGGGAUUCGCGCUAGGAGCUGCUAGUUCGUGACAGUGGUGGUGCUUGCCGCAGCUUUCAUGCGCAUGCGGUGGAAAUCGAGAGAGGUUGCGAACAGCCCUAGAAAUGCUCUUCUUUGCCGUCAGGUGCUCGUAGCUAAGCAGUGGGCGUAAAAGCUGUUUGCGAGAUGUCUUUGCAUCUGUUGAAUGUGCAAUAUGAGCACAGCGCGAAGCUUUUAUCCAGUGGCGGGGACAGUGUCUCGGGCGCCCAUGCAGGCGACACGCGCCCAAUCCCGAGCCUCCCUCCUCGCCUUUACCUUGUCCCUGGACCCGCGCCAUCCGUGUCCCGCUGUUCAAUUCCCGCGUUUCAUACCAGUUCCCCUCCCCUGCGCAGGCCGGUAACCCCUGAUCCCGCCGCUGCCGGGGAUGCAGCCGUGCAGGAUGAGGCCUGAUGAGGUUGACGGCUGGGGAAGUUGGUGUGGGGAAGUUGGUGUAGGUUGGCGGUGAUCCAGCGGGGUGGGUGCCGAUGUGCUAUAGCGGGCGCGAGGCUGUACACGUCAGGAUCUGGCGAGUGUACUGCUUAACACCUACCGCUACGCAGUACUCCGGCUUGCCCCUCCCCCCUCAGGGCGCUCCAUGCCGUGCGCCCCGGAAUGCGGUGUGGGGAUGGGGUGGGGUGGGAUGGACUGGCGGAUGGUGGAAGUAUCAUAUAGGUCUGCUGGGGGCUGCGAGCAGCCAUACUACCGGUCAUGAUAUUGCCUUCGGUAGCUCAGGGCGCCGCGGGCUGGGGGUGGGUAAGUGAGCGGGGAUGGGGGCUCGGACUCAGCGGGGGCACGGACUCAGGGCGUGGAAGCCAGCGAGAAGUGGGCGAGAGUAACGCCGAUGUGCCGGGUGAUGUGCGAGCAGAAUACAGAACGCGGCAUUCGUCAUUACGGGGAAACUAAAACAGAUAGCGCCAACCUUUUGCGCCUCGCGCUUUCGCGCGCAAUUUCCAGGAUCCUCCAACGCGUCGAUUCCUCCGUCUUGCGUCCUUCCGUGCCGGGAGCCUUGAUUAUCGAUACAAUUUGUGAUAUAUUGUAUGUUGCGCUGGAGCUCUAAUGCAAACGCUGCGCUUGUGCGUUUACCCCGCUCUGGCAUAGGGCUUGCGUUUUCAUAAUGUUACGCUUUGCAAUACAUACAUAGAAAGGCGCAUUAUUUGCACGACAAAUUCCGCUGCGCUCGGGUUUCAAGGUUAUAACUCAAGUCAAAACUGGAAUAACCGGGAGGGCCCCCCGCGGCGAGCUCGAUGCGACCGCAAUGGCUAUUGCCCCUCCCCCUUCGGGGGAAGGGGCAAGCCAACCUGGCUUUGUGAUGGCCCCCAAGCGUAGGUGAGGUAGGCGCACGGCGGUGACAAGGCAUGCGGCCAGUGGAACUGCCUUACAGUUACAGCCCGCCCAAGCGCGGUUGUUGCCUUGCCAUGAUUUCCGUGCAGUCUGCUAGCUUCGGCAGGGACGGUGCCCAUCAGUUCCCGAUGUUGACAAACCAUGCAUCCAGCCGCCCACACGUGCUCUCCGUUCGUCACAUACCGUACUCGAACUCCAAUGUCCGCAGAGCGUGUGCGCGAAAUCCACACGCCACACACGCAAGUGACAGCCGCCCGUCCUUGCACAGCAAGCAUCUCCGCGCACGGUCGCACGCUUCUCUAGCCCCAACGAACCGCAAACCACAAAUCAAGUCACACCCACCUCAGCAUUAGAAGUGCACACCCGCCUAUCGAAUGUCGGAUGAUGAUAAGGCAACAAGUAGGUCUAGAGAAAUGAAAGCUAGUAGGUCUACUGCACCCAUGCAUGGAUGGAAAGAAUCAAUGGACCUGUGGAUAUAGGAUCCGGCCUCCUCAAGGGUCCUCGCGCAUUUACUAAAGAGCCAAGGGGUCUAGUAUGUAAGAAUCAAUGCCAGUCUCAAGUCAAGCACACUGAUGCCGGUUCCUGGCAUCUGGAAUGCCAGAAGGGUCGGAGGAACUUGCACACACAGAACGUACACGUCGUGUCACUGACAGCCCACUCGAGUCUCGUAAACAGAAAACAUAGUGCCCGCUCCUGCAGCGAGCCAAGAUACGGUAACCUCGAUACUUCUUUGUGUGUCACCGCGGUACGCGCACACACACGGAUCCACGGGCUUCCUCUCCGCACUCCUUCUGUCACACCCGUGCGAUAGAUCGUUUCGGACGUCACCUCUCCUCCGUCCCAUUACGAACCUGUAGCCCCAGGCAGCCCUGCGUCCAUUGGCACAGCGCCCCUCGCCACCUGCCACCCUCCCGCUCAGCAAAUAAACGCACGCGCGAGAGCAAAACACCAGCAGGUCCAUAGUAUGGCCAAGGGAGGCUGCCGGUUCCCCGGUCCCAUACAGUCACACAUACAUCUUAUUAAGAAACAUCAGCAGGGUUUAGUUGGCAAGUCUCAGUAGAGAAAUAGACAUCCAUACAUCACCCAAUGCGCGUGGCAAUAUCGCACUGAGUGCUUGCUUGCGCUAGCAAUCCAGCAUCAAGUACGGCCUUUGACACUCCCGCUCGCUCACAUACGGUGAAAUAUCAGUACAGCACGGCAACACUUGCGCGAAUCAGUCCUGACUCCUGCGGUAAACGCCGACUACCGUAGCACGCCCUGCUGUCGUGCUGACAAUGAGAAAUGUGCGGCGGCACAGCCCUGCUGGUUCACUUGAUAGUGGGCCCGAUCAGUAGCUAGUAGCGGCGAUUUGCCUAGCUGUCUAUACUUGCACGCAUACGCUGCAGGCUUUGCCGCCUGCCAUUCAACACACUCCUCAUGCCCUGCUGCUGGCUCGCUUCGAUACUGUACCAUCCACACACGUACGUGUGAGGAGCCCCUCUUGCGCCCGGCCACCAGCACCAAAGCUGCGGCGGCUGCGGCUGCUACUGCUACUGCUGCAUCUUCAAAUGGCGAAGGCAGCAAGCCGCUGGCUGCAGGCUCAUGCAGCUGACGGCGUAACACGGAAGCCAAACGGAACGGAGCGGGCCUUGCCGCUACCAGGCCGCCACCGCUGCCGGUGGCGGGAAGCAGCCGCACGCGCGCUCCAACGCGGCAAACUCCUCCAGCUCCCUUUCCUGCUCGGCCCACGCCGCCGCCGCCAGCUCGAGCGGCCGCCGCUGGGGGUGCCGCCGGUACCGCUGGCAGCUGAUGCCGCCGCCGCCUGCUCCGCCAGGCCCUCCUUCAUCCAGUGUGCGAGCGACCCGAGGUCGAGCUCCUCCUCCUCCUCCUCAACGUCAUCCGCCCAGCGGCGGCCGCUGGGGGUGCCGCCGGUGCCGCUGACAGCUGCCGCCGCCGCCUGCUCCGCCAGGCCCUCCUUCAUCCAGUCUGCGAGCGACCCGAGGUCGAGCUCCUCCUCCGCCUCCUCGUGCGCCUCAACCUCAUCCGCCCAGCUACCGCUCGCGCCACCGCUGCUGCUAAUGCUGGCGCGAGGAGCAAUGCUGCUGCUGCUGCCGUCAGACUCUGACGCUGCCGCGGGCGCGGCCGGUGCGGCUUCCGCCUGCUGCUGCUCGGCCGCCGCGAGCUCCGCCAGUCCCUGCUUCACCCAGGGCGUCUGCUCAAAGAGGUCGCUCAGGUCGAGUCCGUCAGCCUCAUCCUCAUCAUCAUCGCCCCAUCGCGGCGUGGUCGAGCUGCGGUCGACGGUGGAGGUGGAGAUGGGGCUUGCAGCGGCGGCGGGCUUGGUCGGAGCCGCGAGCUUGGGCACCUUGGGCAGGCCGGGCGGCUUCUGCGGGCGCCAGUGGUUGUCGUAGGCAUGGCAAAGCUGGCAGGGGGCGCUCCUGCAGCCAGCAGAUAGGCUGGCAUAGCACCAGCGCAUGCAGGACUUGUGAGGAAAGCAGCAGGCGCUGGGGGCAGGCUCCUGCUGCUCCUGCUGGUGGGCGGCGGCGGAGGGCUCGCUCUCAUCAGAGCCGUGGCCUUGGCUGCGGGGCGUGUGGCGCCAGGCGUCCUGUGCAAACGAGAUCGGGGGAAAAGGAUAGAUGGGGGCGGACAAGCCGUGAGUGCACGGGACGAGGACAAGGGUCGGGGCGCAGAGGGCGGGACAAAGGACCGGGGGUCGGGGACUCGAGCCCCGGCAAAAAAGUCAGGCGCACCGGAAAGGCACGCGCUUUCGGUCAAAGCUGUUGACCGACGCAUUUUACGUGACAAUACAUGCAGCAAUAUGCAGCCAGUGUGGCCGCAGCAGCGCAAGAAGGAAGGCCGAGGAAGCCGAGCGCACUACCGUACUGGCCCGAAAUCUGCAACGCUAUCUAGCCCGCAUCAGAAGCCUAAUGCUUUGCAUGUGGCAUCGGAUACCCAUUGCAGUUGCUCAAGGCUCAAAAUGGCCGUGCCCGAACAUGAAUGGUGCUCACCUGCAUCGGUCGGCUCGGCUCGAAGUCAAGCCCCGGUGCACUUGCGCUUGACCGUGAUGUGGCCAUAGUAGCUCUUGACCGCAACAAGCACUCUUCGCGCGCAGAACUCGAUUCUGCUGCUAGCGCAAUUCUUUCGCUUGACGGAAACUUUUCCUCGCGGUGCCCGGGAGGGAUUCGCGCUAGGAGCUGCUAGUUCGUGACAGUGGUGGUGCUUGCCGCAGCUUUCAUGCGCAUGCGGUGGAAAUCGAGAGAGGUUGCGAACAGCCCUAGAAAUGCUCUUCUUUGCCGUCAGGUGCUCGUAGCUAAGCAGUGGGCGUAAAAGCUGUUUGCGAGAUGUCUUUGCAUCUGUUGAAUGUGCAAUAUGAGCACAGCGCGAAGCUUUUAUCCAGUGGCGGGGACAGUGUCUCGGGCGCCCAUGCAGGCGACACGCGCCCAAUCCCGAGCCUCCCUCCUCGCCUUUACCUUGUCCCUGGACCCGCGCCAUCCGUGUCCCGCUGUUCAAUUCCCGCGUUUCAUACCAGUUCCCCUCCCCUGCGCAGGCCGGUAACCCCUGAUCCCGCCGCUGCCGGGGAUGCAGCCGUGCAGGAUGAGGCCUGAUGAGGUUGACGGCUGGGGAAGUUGGUGUGGGGAAGUUGGUGUAGGUUGGCGGUGAUCCAGCGGGGUGGGUGCCGAUGUGCUAUAGCGGGCGCGAGGCUGUACACGUCAGGAUCUGGCGAGUGUACUGCUUAACACCUACCGCUACGCAGUACUCCGGCUUGCCCCUCCCCCCUCAGGGCGCUCCAUGCCGUGCGCCCCGGAAUGCGGUGUGGGGAUGGGGUGGGGUGGGAUGGACUGGCGGAUGGUGGAAGUAUCAUAUAGGUCUGCUGGGGGCUGCGAGCAGCCAUACUACCGGUCAUGAUAUUGCCUUCGGUAGCUCAGGGCGCCGCGGGCUGGGGGUGGGUAAGUGAGCGGGGAUGGGGGCUCGGACUCAGCGGGGGCACGGACUCAGGGCGUGGAAGCCAGCGAGAAGUGGGCGAGAGUAACGCCGAUGUGCCGGGUGAUGUGCGAGCAGAAUACAGAACGCGGCAUUCGUCAUUACGGGGAAACUAAAACAGAUAGCGCCAACCUUUUGCGCCUCGCGCUUUCGCGCGCAAUUUCCAGGAUCCUCCAACGCGUCGAUUCCUCCGUCUUGCGUCCUUCCGUGCCGGGAGCCUUGAUUAUCGAUACAAUUUGUGAUAUAUUGUAUGUUGCGCUGGAGCUCUAAUGCAAACGCUGCGCUUGUGCGUUUACCCCGCUCUGGCAUAGGGCUUGCGUUUUCAUAAUGUUACGCUUUGCAAUACAUACAUAGAAAGGCGCAUUAUUUGCACGACAAAUUCCGCUGCGCUCGGGUUUCAAGGUUAUAACUCAAGUCAAAACUGGAAUAACCGGGAGGGCCCCCCGCGGCGAGCUCGAUGCGACCGCAAUGGCUAUUGCCCCUCCCCCUUCGGGGGAAGGGGCAAGCCAACCUGGCUUUGUGAUGGCCCCCAAGCGUAGGUGAGGUAGGCGCACGGCGGUGACAAGGCAUGCGGCCAGUGGAACUGCCUUACAGUUACAGCCCGCCCAAGCGCGGUUGUUGCCUUGCCAUGAUUUCCGUGCAGUCUGCUAGCUUCGGCAGGGACGGUGCCCAUCAGUUCCCGAUGUUGACAAACCAUGCAUCCAGCCGCCCACACGUGCUCUCCGUUCGUCACAUACCGUACUCGAACUCCAAUGUCCGCAGAGCGUGUGCGCGAAAUCCACACGCCACACACGCAAGUGACAGCCGCCCGUCCUUGCACAGCAAGCAUCUCCGCGCACGGUCGCACGCUUCUCUAGCCCCAACGAACCGCAAACCACAAAUCAAGUCACACCCACCUCAGCAUUAGAAGUGCACACCCGCCUAUCGAAUGUCGGAUGAUGAUAAGGCAACAAGUAGGUCUAGAGAAAUGAAAGCUAGUAGGUCUACUGCACCCAUGCAUGGAUGGAAAGAAUCAAUGGACCUGUGGAUAUAGGAUCCGGCCUCCUCAAGGGUCCUCGCGCAUUUACUAAAGAGCCAAGGGGUCUAGUAUGUAAGAAUCAAUGCCAGUCUCAAGUCAAGCACACUGAUGCCGGUUCCUGGCAUCUGGAAUGCCAGAAGGGUCGGAGGAACUUGCACACACAGAACGUACACGUCGUGUCACUGACAGCCCACUCGAGUCUCGUAAACAGAAAACAUAGUGCCCGCUCCUGCAGCGAGCCAAGAUACGGUAACCUCGAUACUUCUUUGUGUGUCACCGCGGUACGCGCACACACACGGAUCCACGGGCUUCCUCUCCGCACUCCUUCUGUCACACCCGUGCGAUAGAUCGUUUCGGACGUCACCUCUCCUCCGUCCCAUUACGAACCUGUAGCCCCAGGCAGCCCUGCGUCCAUUGGCACAGCGCCCCUCGCCACCUGCCACCCUCCCGCUCAGCAAAUAAACGCACGCGCGAGAGCAAAACACCAGCAGGUCCAUAGUAUGGCCAAGGGAGGCUGCCGGUUCCCCGGUCCCAUACAGUCACACAUACAUCUUAUUAAGAAACAUCAGCAGGGUUUAGUUGGCAAGUCUCAGUAGAGAAAUAGACAUCCAUACAUCACCCAAUGCGCGUGGCAAUAUCGCACUGAGUGCUUGCUUGCGCUAGCAAUCCAGCAUCAAGUACGGCCUUUGACACUCCCGCUCGCUCACAUACGGUGAAAUAUCAGUACAGCACGGCAACACUUGCGCGAAUCAGUCCUGACUCCUGCGGUAAACGCCGACUACCGUAGCACGCCCUGCUGUCGUGCUGACAAUGAGAAAUGUGCGGCGGCACAGCCCUGCUGGUUCACUUGAUAGUGGGCCCGAUCAGUAGCUAGUAGCGGCGAUUUGCCUAGCUGUCUAUACUUGCACGCAUACGCUGCGGGUGUGCCUCACAUACCAUAAUACCCAGUGCUGCUUCUUUCGCAUAUAACACACGCUCAGCAUGCCCUGCUGGCUCACUUCGAUACUGUGCCAUCCACACACGUACGUGUGACGAGCCCCUCUUGCGAACGGCCGCCGGCACCACAGCUGCGGCGGCUGCGGCUGCUGCUGCUCCUGCUGCUGCUACUGCUACUGCUGCAUCUUCAAAUGGCGAGGGCAGCAAGCCGCUGGCUGCAGGGCUCAUGCAGCUGACGGCGUAACACGGAAGCCAAACGGAACGGAGCGGCCCUUGCCGCUACCAGGCCGCCACCGCUGCCGGUGGCGGGAAGCAGCCGCACGCGCGCUCCAACGCGGCAAACUCCUCCAGCUCCCGCUCCUGCUCAGCCCACGCCGCCGCCGCCAGCUCCAUCGCCAGGCGCAGGCGCGAGGGCAUCACAGCUGACUGCCACUCAUCACCCUGCUGCACCGCCGCGAUCGGCGGAACGACACAGCUGCCCAUGCUGCUGCCGGCGGCGGUGCAGGCCUCCUUGUCAGCGCUAUGCUCCUCCACUGCCGCCUCCACCAACUCCACCUGCUGCGGCGUCUCACUGCCUGCCGCCGCCGCCACCCAGACCAGACUGCAGCUGCUGGCGCUGCGGCUGGUGCGGGCGCUGUCCGGCACGGCGCAGCAGCACGAGCUGAGCGGCGAGUCAGGCGCGUCCAGCCGCUCAGUGACGACGGCCACCUCCUGCGCCGCUUCGGCCGCCGCCGGCACGCACUCGCCCUGGGCCUCUGCUUUCCCCAUCGCCGCCAGCUCCGCCGCCAUCCAGGGCGACAGCGAGGCGAGGUAGGCGCCGAAAUCGCCGGCCUCCUCCGCCUCAACGUCAUCCGCCCAGCGGCGGCCGUUGGGGAUGCCGCCGGUGCCGCUGGCAGCUGCCGCCGCCGCCUGCUCCGCCAGGCCCUCCUUCAGCCAAUCUGCGAGCGACCCGAGGUCGAGCUCCUCCUCCGCCUCCUCAUGCGCCUCAACCUCAUCCGCCCAGCUACCGCUCGCGCCACCGCUGCUGCUAAUGCUGGCGCGAGGAGCAAUGCUGCUGCUGCUGCUGCUGCUGCUGCUGCCGUCAGACUCUGACGCUGCC
rnacentral:lncRNA from 1 species